CCCUUAGAUGUUCUGGGCCGCACGCGCGCUACACUGAAGCGUUCAACGAGUAUUUCACCUUGCCCGGGAGGGUUGGGUAAUCUUUUUAAAACGCUUCGUGAUGGGGAUAGAUUAUUGCAAUUAUUAAUCUUCAACGAGGAAUUCCUAGUAAGCGCGAGUCAUCAGCUCGUGCUGAUUACGUCCCUGCCCUUUGUACACACCGCCCGUCGCUCCUACCGAUUGAAUGGUCCGGUGAAAUCUCGGGACGGCGGCUUGGUCGCUUGCGUCCGACUGCUGAAACUUGAUUAAACCAUAUCAUUUAGAGGAAGGUGAAGUCGUAACA
rnacentral:rRNA from 1 species